GAAAUAUGUACUUCACUUAUCUAUUUGUGCUACGUGCUGUUACAAAAGCAACAGCAUACUUGGAGCAAGCAGAGUAUGACACAGGAAACCAUGCUGAAGAUCUGUAAACACAGUCCUUGAUUAAAAAGUUGUUGUAUAGUCCAAAACUACAAACAGCAUGUCCUGUUCCGUUUGAUGAAGCUAAGCUGUGGCAAGGUCAAAGUGGACCAGAAUU